AAGCUCGGAGUCGAACUUGAUGACUCAAAAAUUGAGUCCCUUCUUGGUAUGAAGAUGGUGAAUAUGAACUACUACCCAGAGUGCCCGAAUCCAGAACUAACAGUGGGUGUAGGGCGCCACUCAGACAUGGGAACCAUCACAGUGCUACUCCAAGAUGGCAUUGGUGGCUUAUAUGUCAAAGUAGAAGAAGACAAUGAUGCUGAAAAUGGAGAGUGGCUUGAAAUUCCACCAAUCCCUGGAGCUCUAGUCAUCAAUAUUGGUGAUACUUUGCAGGUUUGAUAUCUUGAAAUUAAAUAUGAGAUUCCUCUAAGUAACUCAAAUUUUAUAGAUUGAAAUAACAAUUUAACCAAUUUUUAGUCAGCAUGCAAUAAUUCAUAUUUCAAUAAUUUCAUUAAAGGGGAACCUAGCAUCACCAUUGUUUGGGUAGUUGUUACAAAUCUUAUAUUAGAAGUUACAAAUGUUGUAUCGAACUCCAUCGAACAAGUGGUGAAAGCUAGACUAAUAUAUCUCUGUCUAGUCAGGAUUAUCAAAUGUGAAAACUUCACACGAAUAUGUCAUGUGAAAGUUUUAAGUCCAUCUCUCUACAUGAGUAUUUAGAAAAUCCCACCUAUUUUUUUUUUUGUGAUAGGCAAUGAAAAAAAAACCCACCUAUUUAACACAUCCAAAUAAAUAAACACACAAUAUUUCACUUGCCAUUGAUAUAUGACAUGAGAUGAUCCUAAUUCUCAAUCCUCUAUGUUGAUGCAAGAUACUGAGCAAUGGGAAGUACAAGAGUGCUGAACACCGAGUAAGGACAACAAGCACACAAUCCAGAGUAUCAGUUCCUGUGUUCACUGUGCCUCUAGCUUCAGAGAGGAUUGGACCAUUGCCAGAGGUGGUGAAGAAAGAUGGCUUGGCACGUUAUAAGGAAGUUGUGUGGCAGGAUUACAUGAACAACUUUUUUGGGAAUGCUCAUGCUGGAAAGAAGUCUCUUGAUUUCGUAAAAAUCAACUCUGCCAAACUAGAAUGAAGAUUGAAUCAAAUCAUGUGACCUCUCUCAUGGGUCUUCUACACAUGAAACGUUGCCUCUGUCUGCACAAUACUCUGUUUUGUUUUUCUCGUUCCCAGCACUCUGUUUUUCUUUUGUGUACCUUGUUCAAAUAAGGCUCUCUAUUAAAACAAAUCAAACGAAUGCGAUUAUUUUCUUGUCAAUGCCAACUAUUCAAGCAUUCUCGCAAUGAAGUGAUGUACACAUACAUAGGCGGAAAAGUGAAAACUCAUUCACUUCAUUUGUAAAGCUCGUGUUCCUGAUACAGAAAAAAUGUUGUCUAACUUGCCUGAAAAAAAAACAUAUCCUGAAAAAGAAAAAUAAAUAAAUGUUUGUUCUUGUUCCAAAGUUUUAUUCUUUGGUGUUGAGACUAGAGAAAAAGAAUCAGGAUAGGAAACCAACUAUUAUUGGAACAUGAGUGGACGUGCAACUUCAAAAAUGAUUGUUCCACUAAUGUUGGUGCUGUUUUGGCUUGAGUUAAGCUACAUAUUAUACACUACACACAGCGUACCCUCACUUUAACGGACAAAUAGAACAGCAGGGAAUGGACAAUGGUGUUCUUCCGGAAGAACACGCCUCAUCAAUACUGAAUCUUUAAAACAAUUCUCAUCAACUAGGAUAGAAGUACAUUUUCUCAGGCUAUUCUAUCUUCAGAUCUUUCAAAAGCUCACUAUAAAAAUAAUCUACAUCAAAUUUUGCCACUUUGUGUCCGAAAAGCAGACACAAAAUCAAGAAAAGAAAUGUAAUAAAAAACAAGUUUUUCUUUAGGUUCAGCUCUCUCGACGCUGCGUUGCGUCAGUUAUGUAGAACAUAGAAUUGACUACGACGAACGCUAAAUUUUUGGGCCAACAUAGCGCCCAACCGCAGAUAAGUAGCGGCAACUCUAACCGAAGCUAAUGUGGCAUGUGUACGACUCAUCGUUCAUGGGUGGAAAAUUUAGUGUCGGUCUAGCCGAUGCUAAAUGACAUAUAUUCAUUUGCCCAUAUCACAUUAUAAGCCCCUCCCUCGUUAACAUUAUAACAAUCUUCAUCAUAAACCCUAACUUCUACCUCUCCUCCUCCACCCCACCUUCAAACCACCGCCACCCCGAGCUAUCACCGUCGAUUUUGUGCCGACGCUCGGCACUGCCACCUACGUCUUCCCCCGCAUCUCUCCCCUCACACUCGCAAACCCUCACCAUAACCGCCCCCUCCCACCUCAUGCACUAUGUAUGUUGCCACAUAUCCCUCCGUCCUUCCUCCACCAUCAUAACUACUUCCUCUUACAAAACUAGAUUCGCCCACCGCCCCCCUCUAAAUCAGCUGCCCAUCCACCAGCAUGUUUGUAGCCUCACCUCCACCUCUCGUUUGGCAGCCCCCUCCACGGUUUCCACCCCAACCGAUCUGCUACUCCAUCGUGAUUGUUGAUGUUGCAACGACCUCCACCUCUACUUUCACUUCUGGUGUUGUCUCCAUCGACCCUCUGCCUUACCCUCAUGUCUGCCACUGUAACAACCAGAGCCGACGGGGGCCGGAGUGAUCUUCGGUGCAGUGAGGCACAACAAGGAGCGGCUCCUAACAGACUUCUAGGCGAAGGGACACAUGAAUGAACCGUUCUCGCACCUGAACAAGAGGUAUUUUGAGAGAGUAUAUAGGUAUGGGACUAUACAGUUGAGAAGGGCAUAAAAGAUUUGAUUAGUACUACUCAUGACAACAAGAUGCAUCUUCUUUUCGGGAGCUCAACUCAUAAAAACUCCAAGGUUAAGUGUCUUUGCCUUGCAGCAAUAUUGGGAUGGGUGACCUUCUGUGAAACACGUGAGUGAAGACAAAACAUGUUGGAAAGACUUGUGUUGUUACCUUGCUCCAAUGGCCCAACAAGUCAUCUAUUUAAAAGGACCUUCCCUGUAGUGCGCCCCUCCUUGAAUGACUCGGUCAUGCAAUACUUAUUGAAUAGAAAGAUGCAAUCCCCCGUGUAUGACAUCUUGGAGCCUUCACUGAUGAAUGUGAAGAUGAAAGUACAAGAGAGUCGUAUAUCUCUGACAAUUUCCUAUAUUUUUCUUUUAAAAAAAUACUUAUUCUUUAGAAAAGUUUUUUUAAAAUCAUAUUUUAGAAAAGUUACUUCAUAUUAUUUAUAAUAUAAAAAAAUAUGUUACAUUAAAUUAUUCACAAUAACAAUAUUAUAAAACAUUAAUUUAUAUUAAUAUACCAAGUUAACCGGUCUAAUUAAGGACCUAUAGACCAGUGACUCAAUAAUUGAGUACUCUGAUCGAGUUAAUAACCGAUACAAAUUCUAUAACACAAAGUAACGUUUGGUAGACAGGUGGGAAGGGAACAGAACAGGACACACAGGUUCUGUUCUGUGUUUGUCAUGCUUUUAAGAUGGAAUGGAACGGGACAAAAAGCUUUUAGAACAUGACAUUUUGGUUCCGUUGAAAAGGAUGGAACGGAAGAGAACGGAACGGGACACAAUUAAAAUAUUUUACUGUGACGAAAUUACCCUGAGUCUAUUUUCUCAACUCUAUUUACUGUGACGAAAUUACCCUGAGUCUAUUUUCUCAACUCUCCUUGUCUUUUUGUAGAGCCGUCUUCCCCAUCUCAACUUUCAUCAUCCAUAUCAUCCCAUCUUGGUUUCCACAAUCAAAGCCCUUACCGCUGUAUACAUAUACAUGGAUCGAUCGUCUUCUCCAACAUCAGAUCUACACCAAUUUCAAACAUAUAUACCAUUUUUAAUAUUUUACUUCUAAACUUAUCUGGAUUUUCCAAACUCAAUCCUCGUAACAAUAGCAAAGUUUUUUUUUAAAAAAAAUCAACAAUAGUAAGGCUUAUUAUUAGUGAACGAAUUUGUAUAUCUAGACUUUUCGCUGAAUGAAUAUUGUACUGGGAUUUGGUGAUUGUAAGCUUCACUUUUUUGUAUCUUCAAACCUUCAAAUUGGGGGAAAGUUCUUUUUAAGGUUAAAUGUUAAACAUGAUGAGGGUAUUUAUGUAAUCAAUCUUAUGGUCCUGUUCCAUCUGCGGGGUAUAUACCAAACAUAGUGCUCAUAACAUUUUUGUCAUGUUCUGUCCUGUUCCGUCCCGUCCUGUUCCGUUCUGUUCAGCUUCCAAACGCUACCUAAGUAUUAGGAGCAGCUAAGAGCAUCUUCAAUGAGAGUAUGUAAUGUCAAAUACAUACUCUCACCAAUAUCUAUUACUAUUAGAGCAUAUUUUUAAUUCCAACAUGACUAGCUAGUGAGAGUAUGUGAGAGUAGAUACUCAAUUUAGUCAUGAAAAAUGUGUUUGCAUUUAUUAUUGCUUAAUGUAAAAGGUUUAAAUAAAACUUACAACUAAUAAAAUAAAUUUUUCAUAUAAACUUUUAAGAGUUGUUGGGUUGGAGUAAAAAUUAAUAAAAUGAUGUAGAUGAUAUGGUAUUAUUAGAAGUUAUAAAAAGUAAAAUGUAAAUACUUUAGUGAAUAUCAUGGUUAAAGAUGCUCUAAGAACCAUCAAACUUUCGGGUUUGGACUAAUAAAGAAAAGUCUACAUAAAGCACUCCCUGGUCAUAAGGGGGCAUCUUCACUCGUUUGACCAUUAGGGGUUGUACUAAUAAAUCUCUUUUAAAUACCUAAUUUUGGUCCUGAUUAUGUUUGUGUUUGUGUGACACCUUCAAUUCUAGAAUCUUCCGUCGCCUGAAAUUUUAUGGCCCUUUCUAAAUCCGAUAUAUACCAAUUCCUCUCCUUCCUUUUACAACUUUCAAUAUUGACUUCAACCAAUAUCUUAAAGAAAAAUUUAUUAAAUUUUAUUUUUUCAGAUUUAUCAUUUCGGCUCGAGCCCGAUCAAUCAUUAAUAUUUAACAAUCUACACAUACAAAUUUCAGAAUACAAUCUCCUCUAUCAACACAAACAUAUUACACGAUAAAAAUAAUUUUGGUUAGUAGCUGAUAUUAUGCUUAAGCUAUUACUUCUCAUAAUGAUAUAACAAUUAUAAUUUUAUAUUUCUUCGGUGUUGCCAUUUUCAACUAUAUAUAUUAGGUUAAUCUUAAAAAAGUCACAUUAAAUAUAGUAAAGGUGAGUGGAUUUUUUUCUUUUGAUAGGUCAAACAAGACAUUAUAACUUAUAAAGUUAUUAAUCAUGAAGAAAAGUAAAUAUGUAUAAUCCAUUUUCCUCAUGUACAGGUAGCCGGAGUCUCUGACUAGACUAAUUAAAUCUCAAAGGGACUAAGAAUGUUGCACUUGACCAGACUAUUCUUGUUGACUUAGCAACUUGUAUCAUUUGGCAAGCUUAGAUUUGUUGUAUCUUUUUUCCUUGAUGGUGGCACGAUAUAUAAGGACAUUCGUGAUUAUUUAUUGGCUUAAGGUUUAAACUUUGAUUCUUUCUCCUUUAUGUGGCACUAGUAUUUUUGACCCGUGCGAUGCACGGGGAUAUUCAUUUUUUUUUCGCGUGAAAAUUUUAAAAAGCUUGGAGAUGCCGUGAUGCUUGAAUCAGAUUUUAGUUAUUAUAAAAAACUAGUUUUUCAAAACCCGUCCCUUGGUGCAUACGUUGGGGAAACGAUAUAUAUAUAACAAAAGGGAAAAAGUGAUGUUCAUUUAUCCUAGACUAGGUAGUACUUUUAUUUUUAUAUGAUAAAAUAGUGAUGGAAAAGAGUAAUUAGUGGAUUUUGCGUUUUAGCAAAAUACCCUUGCCUUUUUAGUCUUACCACAUUGCUACCCCUACUUUUUUCCAAGAAGGGCUGCAAAAAUACCUAGGUACCCCUGGUCUUUGUGUGCUUAGACGUUGUUACCCUCGUCCUUUUUGCACCUUUCAAAUCUUGUGUUUACGUCUGAAACUCUCCGGCUUCACUCUGAAUUCCGGCAGCGACGAGCCUUCCGGUGGCGUAACGGCGAUGAUCCGAGAGAGGAGGAGAUCGAGGUCGAUGAACUGCAAUCCUUUGAAAGACAAUGAAGGCAUUGCAUAACCGACCGUCCCUCGAGGACGAGCGACCCACUCUCGUAGCUCAAGUUCCACAACCCUUUUGGACCCGAGCUAGGGGACUACUGUUCUAGGAGACGCUCCAGCCGAUCACCCCCUGGGUCGAUCGUGUUAUCUCCUUACUCGACCAAUUAUGGGGACGAUCAACCCCAACUGACCGACCAAGUAAUUAUGAACCAGCAGCCGAGGCAAAGGCAUAGAGCUUGAUGAUCGAUGUACUAGGCACUCAUGACCUCCUCGAACCGCGUAAUCCUAAACUCUAUAAAAGUCAAGGCCUAGAGAACAUAAGGUACACAUUCAUCGAUCCCCAUUUCUCAGUCUCUUGAACCCACGUUCUAACUUGAGCGCCGGAGUGUCAUUGCAGGGACCCUUCCUGGGUACGACGAACAACGGAGCACCGUAAAGACCAUCAUCUCGCCACCCCCCUCACCGGAGUUUCGCCACUCCCCCCUCUCCCCACCCUUACCCGGGUAGUGUUGGUCGGUUUUCCCCGAUCACAAGUGUUUGAAAUGACUUAUAGAUUAAAUAGAAGUUGCUUUUAGCUUAUUUUCGUAAGCUUAUAAUAUUAACUUAUAAAUAAGAACUUAUACUUACCCGUAACAUACUUUCAAUAAGUUUCUUAAAUAAAAGUUAUAUAAAGAUAAACGCUUAUGCGAUUAUUGUUUAUUUCAUAAGCGCUUAAUAAAGUUGUUUAUCAAAACACAUAUGUACCACUGUACCAAACAUUUGAUGGAUUUAUGGCUCUAUUUAAUAAUCUUAGUGAACCAUAAUAAUUGUUUCUUUAAUGGCUAGCAUUUAUGAGUCUAAAUUAUUUGUUUAUACAUUUUCAGGGAAGCUGCACUUGAGUAUUUGAAGUUGUCAUCCAAGUUGGUUAAACAGCUUGUGGAAAUCUUGGUAGGUAAGCUCGGAGUCGAACUUGAUGACUCAAAAAUUGAGUCCCUUCUUGGUAUGAAGAUGGUGAAUAUGAACUACUACCCAGAGUGCCCGAAUCCAGAACUAACAGUGGGUGUAGGGCGCCACUCAGACAUGGGAACCAUCACAGUGCUACUCCAAGAUGGCAUUGGUGGCUUAUAUGUCAAAGUAGAAGAAGACAAUGAUGCUGAAAAUGGAGAGUGGCUUGAAAUUCCACCAAUCCCUGGAGCUCUAGUCAUCAAUAUUGGUGAUACUUUGCAGGUUUGAUAUCUUGAAAUUAAAUAUGAGAUUCCUCUAAGUAACUCAAAUUUUAUAGAUUGAAAUAACAAUUUAACCAAUUUUUAGUCAGCAUGCAAUAAUUCAUAUUUCAAUAAUUUCAUUAAAGGGGAACCUAGCAUCACCAUUGUUUGGGUAGUUGUUACAAAUCUUAUAUUAGAAGUUACAAAUGUUGUAUCGAACUCCAUCGAACAAGUGGUGAAAGCUAGACUAAUAUAUCUCUGUCUAGUCAGGAUUAUCAAAUGUGAAAACUUCACACGAAUAUGUCAUGUGAAAGUUUUAAGUCCAUCUCUCUACAUGAGUAUUUAGAAAAUCCCACCUAUUUUUUUUUUUGUGAUAGGCAAUGAAAAAAAAACCCACCUAUUUAACACAUCCAAAUAAAUAAACACACAAUAUUUCACUUGCCAUUGAUAUAUGACAUGAGAUGAUCCUAAUUCUCAAUCCUCUAUGUUGAUGCAAGAUACUGAGCAAUGGGAAGUACAAGAGUGCUGAACACCGAGUAAGGACAACAAGCACACAAUCCAGAGUAUCAGUUCCUGUGUUCACUGUGCCUCUAGCUUCAGAGAGGAUUGGACCAUUGCCAGAGGUGGUGAAGAAAGAUGGCUUGGCACGUUAUAAGGAAGUUGUGUGGCAGGAUUACAUGAACAACUUUUUUGGGAAUGCUCAUGCUGGAAAGAAGUCUCUUGAUUUCGUAAAAAUCAACUCUGCCAAACUAGAAUGAAGAUUGAAUCAAAUCAUGUGACCUCUCUCAUGGGUCUUCUACACAUGAAACGUUGCCUCUGUCUGCACAAUACUCUGUUUUGUUUUUCUCGUUCCCAGCACUCUGUUUUUCUUUUGUGUACCUUGUUCAAAUAAGGCUCUCUAUUAAAACAAAUCAAACGAAUGCGAUUAUUUUCUUGUCAAUGCCAACUAUUCAAGCAUUCUCGCAAUGAAGUGAUGUACACAUACAUAGGCGGAAAAGUGAAAACUCAUUCACUUCAUUUGUAAAGCUCGUGUUCCUGAUACAGAAAAAAUGUUGUCUAACUUGCCUGAAAAAAAAACAUAUCCUGAAAAAGAAAAAUAAAUAAAUGUUUGUUC
rnacentral:lncRNA from 1 species